UACGGGGGGGGGCAAGCGUUGUUCGGAAUUACUGGGCGUAAAGGGCUCGUAGGCGGCCAACUAAGUCAGACGUGAAAUCCCUCGGCUUAACCGGGGAACUGCGUCUGAUACUGGAUGGCUUGAAUCCGGGAGAGGGAUGCGGAAUUCCAGGUGUAGCGGUGAAAUGCGUAGAUACUGGGAGGAACACCAGUGGCGAAGGCGGCUACCUGGACCGGUUCUGACGCUGAUGCGCGAAAGCGUGGGGAGCAAACAGG
rnacentral:rRNA from 1 species